rnacentral:tRNA from 1 species
CAAAGUUGUAGUUUAAUUAAAAUACUAGCAUUGGGAGCUAGAGAUUAGGUGUUAGUCCUACACUUUGA